GCCGGGCAUGGUGGUGCAUGCCUGUAGUCCCAGCUACUCGGGAGGCUGAGGCAGGAGAAUUGCUUGAACCCGGGAGGCGGAUGUUGCGGUGAGCUGAGAUCGCGCCAUUGCACUCCAGACUGGGUAACAAGAGCGAAAGUCCAACUAAAAAAAAAAAAAAGGAAAGCUUUUUCUCUUUUUUUUUAGACAGAGUCUCACUCUGCUGCCCAGGCUGGAGUGCAGUGGUGUGAUCUCAACUCACUGAAGCCUCCACCUCCUGGGUUCAAGUGAUUCUCAUGCCUCA
rnacentral:SRP_RNA from 1 species